GUCUCAGUUCGGAUUGUAGUCUGCAACUCGACUACAUGAAGCUGGAAUCGCUAGUAAUCGCGAAUCAGAAUGUCGCGGUGAAUACGUUCCCGGGUCUUGUACACACCGCCCGUCACACCAUGGGAGUUGGGAAUGCCCGAAGCCGGUGACCUAACCGAAAGGGAGGAGCCGUCGAAGGCAGGCUUGAUAACUGGGGUGAAGUCGUAACAAGGUACC
rnacentral:rRNA from 1 species